rnacentral:rRNA from 1 species
CACGUAGUUAGCCGUGGCUUAUUCAACAGGUACCGUCACUUUCUUCGUCCCUGUUAAAAGAAGUUUACAACCCGAGGGCCUUCUUCCUUCACGCGGCGUUGCUGGGUCAGGCUUGCGCCCAUUGCCCAAUAUUCCCCCACUGCUGCCUCCCGUAGGAGUCUGGACCGUGUCUCAGUUCCAGUGUGGCCGAUCACCCUCUCAGGUCGGCUACGUAUCGUUGCCUUGGUAAGCCGUUACCUUACCAACUAGCUAAUACGGCGCGGGUCCAUCUAUAAGUGAUAGCAAAACCAUCUUUCACUUUAGAACCAUGCGGUUCCAAAUGUUAUCCGGUAUUAGCUCCGGUUUCCCGAAGUUAUCCCAGUCUUAUAGGUAGUUACCCACGUGUUACUCACCCGUCCGCCGCUAACGUCAAAGGAGCAAGCUCCUUAUCUGUUCGCUCGACUUGCAUGUAUUAGGCACGCCGCCAGCGUUCAUCCUGAGCCAGGAUCAAACUCU